AAUUCACAUUAUGUGCGUCGCACGUCUUUUAGGUGCGUUGCAAAAUACCCAAUUGCAACGCACCUUAUACAAUGUCCGACGCACAGAUUAAGUCCACGAGGCCCAUAUCGUCUCACUACCCUUUUAUUUCAGAAACUGCACGCACAUUUGGGUUCUCAACCCUAAUUUCACUCAACUCUCUCCCUCCUUCUCUCAGCCGCUUCUCAUCCUCUUUCUCUCUCCUCCCCUCUACAAGAAAAAAAAACCCAGAUCUCAGCCGCUUCUCAUCCUCUUGCAUUAUUUUCGAUUUUAAUCAUGAAGGUUGGGGUUCCUGAAUUAUAUUGAAUCUGAAAUUGACGAAAACACGCAUCCUUCAACGUGCGACGGAAUUAUGUAAGAUGAAAACACACAUCCUUCAACAACAAAGAGAUUCUUUACUGCGGCGGAAGAUUAAUACAAAGCAAGCAACAGUAGCGGCGGAUGAUACUAGCAGCGACAGUACCGGCGACAGAUGCGAGCGAUAUAUGCUAUUAGUUUUUCAUUUUGUUUGCAAUAUAUACUGUAAAUUUAAGUUUUUCAUUUUGUUUGAGUUGUAAAUUGUGAAUUUUGUUGGUUUACUGUUGUGUUCGAGUUGUAAAUUGUGAUAUUUAUGGAUUUUUUUUGAUUUAUUCUUUUGUGUUUACUGUUGUGUUCGACAUAUGAGAAUGAUUUAUUCUUUUGUGUUUA